rnacentral:tRNA from 1 species
UAGCUUAGUUGGUAGCGCGUCUGCCUUGUAAGCGCUAGGUCGCGGGUUCGAUUCCCGC